CCUUGCCUCUGAUACCCAUGCAUCUGGAAAGAUAGCUGUGCUGCACCAGAAACAAAACGGUGGCAGCAGUUGGUUGGAGAACAAGGUGGGACGGGGCAGUCGAGGCAGCAGGCUGGUAUCACGGGUCCUUGUCUUGCUGAGAAGAGUCUUAGAAGGUCAGGAGCCAGGCAUAAAGCGACAUGAGUUGGAAUGUCUUUGAGUAGAACGGUCUUUUCUUGAGAUGAAAGCUUCCUUCCUCCGUCCCUCCCUUCCUUCCUUUCUUUUUGCCAGAUACUCUGAUGCUCACCUCAUGACAGGACAUCAUCAGGGGAGCCAGCACGUAGUUAAGACCCUGCGGUUCUUGUUCUGGAGUUUACACCGCAUCGGAGGAGACAGCAAAGCCUGGAGAAGUGAAGAAGUUCUGAAUCCAUGGUUGGGAGAAAUAUGGCAGCAGAUGGCAAUAUGCACAAGUGGCAUUUGGACCGGCCGGAUGUGAUGGGGAAUUGGGUUGGCUGUGAAAGAAAUCAAAGAAGACUAUUUCUACUGCUCACAACCCUAAACCUUUGAAAAUAUUGGCAGUGCUGCUGGAUUUCCUAUAAUAUUGUGGGAUGAGAGCAUACAUUGUUUUAUUUGAAAAAUAAGGAAAAGAAGGAUCCCAGAAGAUGGCGUGCUUGGGUGGAGGAACUCUUGGGUUAUGGUACUAAUUUCCAACUGAUUUGGGAUUGGAGUUUAAAACCAGUAUUUUAACACAGCAUGGCUGCUGACUUGUAAUGCAUAACAUUAUGUAAUAGCGUAGUAAGAUUACAGAUUUUACUAGCUUCUAGCUAAUUUCUCUGACCACAUUUGUAAAAAUAUAAGCAUCGCAAUAAUGGAUUGUAACAUACUGAAUUUUAGAAGAAUGAAGUUCCAUAGUGAUUUUUGAAAAUGGUGGGGGUGUGUGCAGUAAAAGCUCUUCUUUAUGAAAGAAUGGGAAGAUGUGGAGGAGAUGACUGCAUUAGAAAAUCAUCAUUUUGCCACUAACAUUAUAAUAAUCAAUGCAGGCAAAUAUGCUCCUUGGUAUUUAGCCAAAGGAAUUGAAAACUAGGAGUUCCUGUCGUGGCUCAGUGGUUAACGAAUCGACUAGGAACCAUGAGGUUGUGGGUUUGAUCCCUGGCCUCACUCAGCGGGUUAAGGAUCCAGUGUUGCUGUGAGCUGUGGUGUAGGUUACAGACACGACUCGGAUGCUGUGUUGCUGUGGCAGUGGUGUAGGCCGGCAGCUGUAGCUCCAAUUCAACCCCUAGCCUGGGAACCUCCAUAUAUGACAUGGGUACAGCCCUAAAAAGCAAAAAAAGGAAAAAGAGAAAAGAAAUGGCUAUGUGUGGUUUACAAGCCUGUUAACACUGUCUUCUAGUUGAUUGACCAAACUAGGACACACGAGUUCAAUCCCUGGCCUUGCUCAGUGGGUUAAGAAGCUGUUGUGUAGGUCACAGAUGCGGCCGGGAUCCUGUGUUGCUGUGGUGCUGGCGAAGGAUGGCGACUACUGCUCUGAUUAGACCCCUAGCCUGGGAACCUCCAUAUGCCACAGGUGCGACCCUAGAAAAGACAAAAAGACAAAAAAAAAAAAAAAAAAAAAAAAAAAAAAGAAAAGAAAACUUAUGUCCACACAAAACCCUGUACCCAGAUUUUAUAACAGCUUUAUUCAUAAUGGCCCAAUCAUGGAAGAAACCAAGAUGACCCUCAGUAAGUGAACGGAUAAAUAAACUGCCAUAUAUCCGGAUAAUGGAAUUUCAUUCAGCACUAAAAUGAAAUGAGCUGUGCAACCUAAGUGUCCUUCGGCAGGUGAGUGGAUAAGAAGAUGUACUAUAUUAGAAUAUUAGAACAGCAUAUUAACCAUAAAAAAAGAGUAAAAUCUUGCCAUCACAAUAACAUGCAUGUAUCUAGAGGGUAUUAUGCUAAGUGAAUAAAUCAGAAAGAGAAAGACAAAUACUAUCUGAUUCCACUGAUAUGUGGGAUAUAAAAAAUAAAACAUGAAUAAACAGAAACCAAAAUAGAGAACAUACUAGUGGUUGCCAGAGGGGAGGGGGCUAGGGAGAUGGGCAAAAUUUCUGAAGGGGAUUAAGAGGCACAAAUUGCCAGUUAUAAAAUAAAUAAGUCACAGGAAUGUAAUAUAUAAUACAGGGAAUAUAGUCAAUGACACCGUAAUAAUUUUGUGUGGUGUGUAAUCCAUAAAAAUAUCAAAUCACUAUGUUGCACUCCUGAAACUAAUAUAAGUUGUAAGCUAAUCAAACUUCAAUUAAAAAAGGGGGGGGGAUUUUAAAUGCAUGUUACCAAGUGAAAUAAGCCAAUCUGGAAAGCCUACAUACUGUAUGAGUUCAGCUAUAUGACCUACUGGCAAAGGCAAAAUUAUGGCGAGAGUGAAAAGAUCAGUGGAUGCCAGGUGAGUGGAGAGGGAGGGAGAAAGAGGCAGAGCACAGAGGAUUUUUAGGGCAAAGAAGCUACUCUGCGUGGUACCGUAAUGGUGGAUCCAAGUCAUUACACAUUUGUCCAAACCCAUAGAAUGUAAACGAUGGACUUUAGGUAAUAACGAGGUGUCAAUGGAGGAUCUUCACUUGUAACACAUGGACCCUUCUGGCGGCCUUUGUCGAUUACCGGAGGUGAUGCAUGUGGAUGGGGAGGGGUUAUGCGGGAAAUCGCUGUAUCUUUUACUCCGUGUUGCUGUGAGCCUCAAACUGCUCUAAAAAAUGUCGUAUGUUUAUGCAAAUACGCACAUCAUCUCACAGUGUCAUUUAUUAUUUACUACAAAGGGCAAAAGUCUCUUUACAAUGAAAAAAUACGCAGCCUCUUUAACCAAGCGAUCAUCAAUAAUGAGACAUUUUAUGUCUCCUGACGUGAUGUAAUAGGGAUGACCCAACAGCACUUAUACACUGUUGUCAAAAUCUUGCCAAACAUGUUUCAUCUGAAUUGAAUCAUAGGGAAAUGACCAGGCAAAUCCACAUUGCAGAAUACUCUAUGAAACAACUGACCGGGCCUUUUUUUUUUUUUUUUUUUUUUUCUGGCUGUGCCUGUGACAUGCAAAAGUUCUUGGGCCAGGGAUCCAACCCAAGGCACAGCAGUGACAACAUUGGAUCCUUAACCCACUCUACCACCAGGGAACUCCUGACCUGGACUUUUAAAAAACGCUAAUGUAAUAAAAGACCAAAACAAACAAACAAACAAAACAAAACCUCGAGGGAGGGAGAUGACAGGGAGACGUAUUC
rnacentral:lncRNA from 9 species